GGCUUUGUAGCUCAACGGUUUUAGAGCAGCUGUCUAGUAAACAGCCGACCAGGGUUCGACUCCCUGCUUAGCCU
rnacentral:tRNA from 1 species